rnacentral:rRNA from 1 species
GCUCCAAUAGCGUAUAUUUAAGUUGCUGCAGUUAAAAAGCUCGUAGUUGGAUUUCGGGCGGGUGGCAGCGGUCCGCCUCUGGUGAGUACUGCUGGCGCCGCCUUACUGUCGGGGACGGGCUCCUGGGCUUCACUGUCCGGGACUCGGAGUCGACACGGUUACUUUGAGUAAUUAGAGUGUUCAAGCAGGCCUACGCUCUG